rnacentral:rRNA from 1 species
CCUACGGGAGGCAGCAGUAAGGAAUCUUGCGCAAUGGGCGAAAGCCUGACGCAGCGACGCCGCGUGGGCGAUGAAGGCCUUCGGGUCGUAAAGCCCUUUUCUGUGGGACGAUAAUGACGGUACCACAGGAAUAAGCCACGGCUAACUACGUGCCAGCAGCCGCGGUAAUACGGAGGGUGCAAGCGUUGCUCGGAAUCACUGGGUGUAAAGCGCGAGUAGGCGGUUAAUUAAGUCAGAUGUGAAAGCCCACGGCUCAACCGUGGAAGUGCAUCUGAAACUGGUUAGCUAGAGUGUGAGAGAGGGAUGCGAAAUUCCCGGUGUAGGGGUGAAAUGCGUAGAUAUCGGGAGGAACACCAGUGGCGAAGGCGGCAUCCUGGCUCAUAACUGACGCUGAGUCGCGAAAGCGUGGGGAUCAAACAGGAUUAGAUCCCCCUGUAGU